rnacentral:rRNA from 1 species
GAUGAACGCUGGCGGCGUGCCUAAUACAUGCAAGUCGAACGCACAGCGAAAGGUGCUUGCACCUUUCAAGUGAGUGGCGGACGGGUGAGUAACACGUGGAUGACCUACCUCAAGGUUGGGGAUAACAUUUGGAAACAGAUGCUAAUACCGAAUAAAACUUCGUAUCGCAUGAUACAAGGUUAAAAGGCGCUACGGCGUCACCUAGAGAUGGAUCCGCGGUGCAUUAGUUAGUUGGUGGGUAAAGGCCUACCAAGACAAUGAUGCAUAGCCGAGUUGAGAGACUGAUCGGCCACAUUGGGACUGAGACACGGCCCAAACUCUACGGGAGCUGCAGUAGGGAAUCUUCCACAAAUGGGCGAAAGCCUGAUGGAGCAACGCCGCGUGUGUGAUGAAGGCUUU